UGGAGAGGUGGCAGAGUGGUCGAAUGCGCCUGACUUGAAAUCAGGUGAGCCGCAAGGUUCCGGGGGUUCGAAUCCCCCCCUCUCCGU
rnacentral:tRNA from 4 species